rnacentral:rRNA from 1 species
AUUGAACGCUGGUGGCAUGCUUAACACAUGCAAGUCGAACGGUUUCUGUAGCUUGCUAUAGAGACGAGUGGCGGACGGGUGAGUAAUACAUAGGAAUCUGCCCUUGAGCGGGGGACAACUUAGGGAAACUUAAGCUAAUACCGCAUAAGAUCCACGGAUGAAAGCUGGCGCAAGCUGGCGCUGUAGGAUGAGCCUAUGUCGGAUUAGCUAGAUGGUGGGGUAAAGGCCUACCAAGGCGACGAUCCGUAGCUGUUCUGAGAGGAAGAUCAGCCACACUGGGACUGAGACACGGCCCAGACUCCUACGGGAGGCAGCAGUGGGGAAUAUUGGACAAUGGGGGCAACCCUGAUCCAGCAAUGCCACGUGUGUGAAGAAGGCCUGAGGGUUGUAAAGCACUUUUGUGGGGGAAGAAGUUUAUUAGGUUAAGAGCUAAAUGAAUUGACAUUACCCCAAGAAAAAGCACCGGCUAACUCUGUGCCAGCCGCCGCAGUAA